GAAGGUAUAGCUCAGUGGUACAGCGUGUGCUCAGCAGGCAUGAGGUCCUGGGUUCAAUCCCCAGUUCCUCCA
rnacentral:tRNA from 1 species